rnacentral:rRNA from 1 species
GCCAGACUCCUACGGGAGGCAGCAGUGGGGCCUCUUGCACAAUGGGCGCCCGCUUGAUGCCGCGCCGCCGCGUGCGUGCAGAAGUAUUUCGGUAUGUAAAGCUCUCUCAGCAGGGCCGCCCAUGACGGUCCCUGCCUAAGAAGCCCCGGCUAACUACGUGCCCGCAGCCGCGGUCCUACGUAGGGGGCACGCGUUAUCCGGCUUUACUGGGGGGAAAGGGAGCGGAGACGGCGAAGCAAGUCGGAAGUGAAAACCCAUGGCUCAACCCGGGGACUGCUUUGGAAGCUGUUUUGCUAGAGGGGCGGAGAGGUAAGGGGAAGUCCUAGUGGAGCGGUGAAAUGCGGAGAGAUUAGGAGGAACACCAGUGGCGAAGGCGGCUUACUGGACGAGAACUGACGGGGAGGCGCGAAAGCGGGGGGAGCAAACAGGAUUAGAUACCCCCGUAGG